rnacentral:piRNA from 1 species
UGAGGAUCAAAGCAGUCCCAAUUGUUCAGGA